AUCCCCCUUUAAUCCCCCAUCCCCCCAUUCAACCCAACUUCAGCCCCCGCGCUGCGCCCCCCUUCCCUGGCCCGGCUCGAUUGGCCGCUUCCUGAGCUGUCAGACUUGAGUCCGGCGCUCUUAUUGGGCGAUUCUCGGGCCGGGCGGCUGUGCCAAAGGAGGGCGCACCGGGCCGGGGGCGCCCAGGCAGCGACUGCCGCAGGGAGCCGAAGACCAGAGUCCCUGGAGGGCCAGAGGGGCCCAAGAGCCAGACCCGGAAAUGGACGGGAGAGAUGGAGAGACUGAGGAUCUCUGAGGCCCAGGAAGACAGUUACGGGAAAGAUGGAGAUGCAGUUGGUGAGGCCGAUGCAACCAGGGCUGGGCGGACAGGAAUGCUUUGGUGGAUAGUUACAGAGCAAGAACCCCGCAGACAGCAUUACGAACACCUGGCGUUUGUGAAGAGCUCUCUCUGCUCGUUCUCCUGCUGGAAGUUCCCGCAGCCUAAACUCUGGACAGAUGGGGAACAAUCACCUCUAAUCCCAGGAGGGAGAAACAAGCUUCACUUUCUUCCUUCAGCUCUCCCUGUGGAGGUUCUGACAAAGAGACUAGAGGCCUGGAUAUGAGAAAACCAAAACAGAGAAUCAAAGUUUGCCCAGUUUGUAGCAGAAGGAAACCUAGGUUCAGUCUACUUGUACUCUACCACACAGCCGUGUAACAAAUAUGAUAUAAGAACACCCAGACUGGCAGCUGCAUGGACAGAAACCAGAUGGCCUGAG
rnacentral:lncRNA from 1 species